CCGUGUUCUUAAUGUCACGUGUAACGCUACGGGAUCAUGGAGUGAAGUACUUCCUACAUGUAUAAAUACAGGCGCAAUUGUCACGGUUGGAAACGUAUCAACCCCCUCACCGACAGAACCUGAUGCAGGCUCAAGUACCACAGUCAUGACCGUACAAAGAAAAAAACGCGAAACUUUGCCCUUGGACAAUCAAUAUGUUCUAACAGUCAUAGAAACGGUAAGAUACUUAGUUGCAAUUAUCUAAGAAGUUCAUGUCCGGGACAUCCCAGUAGACCGACAGCCCAUGAGACCGACAGCACACGAGACCGACAUAACACGAGACUUACAGCCCACGAGACUUACAGCCCACGAGACCUACACCACCCGAGAC